rnacentral:rRNA from 1 species
GACGAACGCUGGCGGCGUGCUUAACACAUGCAAGUCGAGCGGUAAGGCCCUUUCGGGGGUACGACGAGCGGCGAACGGGUGAGUAACACGUGGGUGACCUGCCCUCAGCUCUGGGAUAAGCCUGGGAAACCGGGUCUAAUACUGGAUAUGACUCCAUGACGCAUGUUGUGGGGUGGAAAGCCUUGUGCGGCUGAGGAUGGGCCCGCGGCCUAUCAGCUUGUUGGGUGGGGUGAGGCCUACCAAGGCGACGACGGGUAGCCGGCCUGAGAGGGCGACCGGCCACACUGGGACUGAGACACGGCCCAGACUCCUACGGGAGGCAGCAGUGGGGAAUCUUGCGCAAUGGGCGAAAGCCUGACGCAGCGACGCCGCGUGAGGGAUGAC